GAUGAACGCUGGCGGCGUGCCUAAUACAUGCAAGUCGAGCGAACAGACGAGGAGCUUGCUCCUCUGACGUUAGCGGCGGACGGGUGAGUAACACGUGGAUAACCUACCUAUAAGACUGGGAUAACUUCGGGAAACCGGAGCUAAUACCGGAUAAUAUAUUGAACCGCAUGGUUCAAUAGUGAAAGACGGUUUUGCUGUCACUUAUAGAUGGAUCCGCGCCGCAUUAGCUAGUUGGUAAGGUAACGGCUUACCAAGGCAACGAUGCGUAGCCGACCUGAGAGGGCGAUCGGCCACACUGGAACUGAGACACGGUCCAGACUCCUACGGGAGGCAGCAGUAGGGAAUCUUCCGCAAUGGGCGAAAGCCUGACGGAGCAACGCCGCGUGAGUGAUGAAGGUCUUCGGAUCGUAAAACUCUGUUAUUAGGGAAGGACAAAUGUGUAAGUAACUAUGCACGUCUUGACGGUACCUAAUCAGAAAGCCACGGCUAACUACGUG
rnacentral:rRNA from 1 species